rnacentral:snRNA from 1 species
AUCGCUUCUCGGCCUUUUGGCUAAGAUCAAGUGUAGUAUCUGUUCUUAUCAGUUUAAUAUCUGAUACGUCCUCUAUCCGAGGGAAAAGUUUAAUAUCUGAUACGUCCUCUAUCCGAGGGGAAAAAAAA